GAGUUUGAUCAUGGCUCAGAACGUACGCUGGCGGCACGCCUAACACAUGCAAGUCGAACGAAGUAGCAAUACUUAGUGGCAGACGGGUGAGUAACAUGUAGGUAUCUGCCCUUUGGCCUGGAAUAACACGAGGAAACUUGUGCUAAUACCGGAUAAGUCUUUACGGAGAAAGCUUUAUGCACCAUUGGAUGAGCCUGCACUUGAUUAGUUUGUUGGUGGGGUAAUGGCCUACCAAGACUGUGAUCAAUAGCUGAUUUGAGAGGAUGAUCAGCCACAUUGGGACUGAGACACGGCCCAAACUCCUACGGGAGGCAGCAGUGGGGAAUCUUGCACAAUGGAGGAAACUCUGAUGCAGCGAUGCCGCGUGAGUGAAGAAGGCCCUUGGGUUGUAAAGCUCUUUCGUCGGGGAAGAAAAUGACUGUACCCGAAUAAGAAGGUCCGGCUAACUUCGUGCCAGCAGCCGCGGUAAUACGAAGGGACCUAGCGUAGUUCGGAAUUACUGGGCUUAAAGAGUUCGUAGGUGGUUGAAAAAGUUAGUGGUGAAAUCCCAGAGCUUAACUCUGGAACUGCCAUUAAAACUUUUCAGCUAGAGUAUGAUAGAGGAAAGCAGAAUUUCUAGUGUAGAGGUGAAGUUCGUAGAUAUUAGAAAGAAUACCAAUUGCGAAGGCAGCUUUCUGGAUCAUUACUGACACUGAGGAACGAAAGCAUGGGUAGCGAAGAGGAUUAGAUACCCUCGUAGUCCAUGCCGUAAACGAUGUGUGUUAGACGUUGGAAAUUUAUUUUCAGUGUCGCAGGGAAACCGAUAAACACACCGCCUGGGGAGUACGACCGCAAGGUUAAAACUCAAAUGAAUUGACGGGGACCCGCACAAGUAGUGGAGCAUGUGGUUUAAUUCGAAGAUACGCGCAGAACCUUACCAACACUUGACAUGUUCGUCGCGACUCUAAGAGAUUAGAGUUUUCGGUUCGGCCGGACGAAACACAGGUGCUGCAUGGCUGUCGUCAGCUCGUGUCGUGAGAUGUUGGGUUAAGUCCCGCAACGAGCGCAACCCUCACUUUUAGUUGCCAUCAUUAAGUUGGGCACUCUGAAAGAACUGCCAGUGAUAAGCUGGAGGAAGGUGGGGAUGACGUCAAGUCCUCAUGGCCCUUACGUGUUGGGCUACACACGUGCUACAAUGGUAUCUACAACAGGAAGCAAGACUGCGAAGUUAAGCAAAUCCCUAAAAGAUACCUCAGUUCGGAUUGCACUCUGCAACUCGAGUGCAUGAAGCUGGAAUUACUAGUAAUCGUGGAUCAGCGUGCCACGGUGAAUGCGU
rnacentral:rRNA from 1 species